rnacentral:rRNA from 1 species
CUUGGGUCAUUUAGAGGAAGUAAAAGUCGUAACAAGGUCUCCGUUGGUGAACCAGCGGAGGGAUCAUUACAGAGUUGCAAAACUCCCUAAACCAUUGUGAACGUUACCUAUACCGUUGCUUCGGCGGGCGGCCCCGGGGUUUACCCCCCGGGCGCCCCUGGGCCCCACCGCGGGCGCCCGCCGGAGGUCACCAAACUCUUGAUAAUUUAUGGCCUCUCUGAGUCUUCUGUACUGAAUAAGUCAAAACUUUCAACAACGGAUCUCUUGGUUCUGGCAUCGAUGAAGAACGCAGCGAAAUGCGAUAAGUAAUGUGAAUUGCAGAAUUCAGUGAAUCAUCGAAUCUUUGAACGCACAUUGCGCCCGCCAGCAUUCUGGCGGGCAUGCCUGUUCGAGCGUCAUUUCAACCAUCAAGCCCCCGGGCUUGUGUUGGGGACCUGCGGCUGCCGCAGGCCCUGAAAAGCAGUGGCGGGCUCGCUGUCGCACCGAGCGUAGUAGCAUACAUCUCGCUCUGGUCGCGCCGCGGGUUCCGGCCGUUAAACCACCUUUUAACCCAAGGUUGACCUCGGAUCAGGUAGGAAGACCCGCUGAACUUAAGCAUAUCAAUAAGCGGAGGA